rnacentral:rRNA from 1 species
AUUGAACGCUGGCGGCAGGCCUAACACAUGCAAGUCGAGCGAGCGGCGGACGGGUGAGUAAUGUAUGGGGACUGCCCGAUAUAGGGGGAUAACUACUCGAAACGGUAGCUAAUCCCGCAUACUACCUCAUUUCCUAUAUGGGAUUAGCUAGUAGGUGGGGUAAUGGCUCACCUACGCGACGAUCCCUAGCUGGUCUGAGAGGAUGAUCAGCCACACUGGGACUGAUACACGGCCAAGACUCCUACGGAGGCAGCAGUGGGGAAUAUUGCACAAUGGGCGCAAGCCUGAUGCAGCCAUGCCGCGUGUAUGAAGAAGGCCCUAGGGUUGUAAAGUACUUUCAGUCGGGAGGCGUUACCGACAGAAGAAGCACCGGCUAACUCCGUGCCAGCAGCCGCGGUAAUUC